rnacentral:rRNA from 1 species
ACGCACGCUGGCGGCGUGCCUCAUACCUGCAAGUUGCGCGCUGAAGGUUGGUACUUGUACCAACUGGAUGAGCAGCGAACGGGUGAGUAACGCGUGGGGAAUCUGCCUUUGAGCGGGGGACAACAUUUGGAAACGAAUGCUAAUACCGCAUAAAAACUUUAAACACAAGUUUUAAGUUUGAAAGAUGCAAUUGCAUCACUCAAAGAUGAUCCCGCGUUGUAUUAGCUAGUUGGUGAGGUAAAGGCUCACCAAGGCGAUGAUACAUAGCCGACCUGAGAGGGUGAUCGGCCACAUUGGGACUGAGACACGGCCCAAACUCCUACGGGAGGCAGCAGUAGGGAAUCUUCGGCAAUGGACGAAAGUCUGACCGAGCAACGCCGCGUGAGUGAAGAAGGUUUUCGGAUCGUAAAACUCUGUUGGUAGAGAAGAACGUUGGUGAGAGUGGAAAGCUCAUCAAGUGACGGUAACUACCCAGAAAGGGACGGCUAACUACGUGC